AUUGAACGCUGGCGGCAGGCCUAACACAUGCAAGUCGAGCGAGCGGCGGACGGGUGAGUAAUGUCUGGGAAACUGCCUGAUGGAGGGGGAUAACUACUGGAAACGGUAGCUAAUACCGCAUACCAUCAGAUGUGCCCAGAUGGGAUUAGCUGGUAGGUGGGGUAACGGCUCACCUAGGCGACGAUCCCUAGCUGGUCUGAGAGGAUGACCAGCCACACGGGAACUGAGACAGUGUCCGUACUCUUACGGGAGGCAGAGGUGGGGAAUAUUGGACAAUGGGCGCAAGCCUAAUGCAGCCAUGCCGCGGGGGUGAAGAAGGCCUUCGGGUUGUAAAGCACUUUCAGCGGGGAGGCGUUACCCGCAGAAGAAGCACCGGCUAACUCCGUGCCAGCAGCCGCGGUAAUAC
rnacentral:rRNA from 1 species